rnacentral:rRNA from 1 species
GAGUAGCAAUACUCUCUGAUGGCGACCGGCGCAAGGGUGCGUAACGCGUGAGCAACUUGCCCUCAUCAGGGGAAUAAUCCCUGGAAACGGCGUCUAAUGCCCCAUGGUGAUGGAAUCAGGCAUCUGAAUCCAUCUAAAGAUUCGUCGGAUGAGGAUAGGCUCGCGUGACAUUAGCUUGACGGCGGGGUAACGGCCCACCGUGGCGACGAUGUCUAGGGGUUCUGAGAGGAAGGUCCCCCACACUGGAACUGAGACACGGUCCAGACUCCUACGGGAGGCAGCAGUGAGGAAUAUUGGUCAAUGGCCGGAAGGCUGAACCAGCCAUGCCGCGUGAAGGUCAGUGCCCUAUGGGCGUUAAACUUCUUUUGUGCGGGAGCAAUAAGGUCCACGUGUGGACCGACGAGAGUACCGUACGAAUAAGCAUCGGCUAACUCCGUGCCAGCAGCCGCGGUAAUACGGGGGAUGCAAGCGUUAUCCGGAUUUAUUGGGUUUAAAGGGUGCGUAGGCUGUGAGGUAAGUCAGCGGUGAAAUGCCCCCGCUCAACGGGGUGAAGUGCCAUUGAUACUGCCUUGCUGGAAUGCGGAUGCCGUGGGAGGAAUGUGUGGUGUAGCGGUGAAAUGCAUAGAUAUCACACAGAACACCGAUUGCGAAGGCAUCUCACGAAUCCGCGAUUGACGCUGAUGCACGAAAGCGUGGGU